rnacentral:lncRNA from 1 species
CUUGAGACCUAAGGACCCACUUUAUGGUAAAGAAGGAAGACAGUGGGCACAUGACCACAGGACACAAUUGUCCUUUAACAUACCAUGCCACAUAGAAUAUCCUGCCCAAUAGAGUGAUGGAAUGGACUUUGAAGCUCAUCUCAGGUGCCAGCUUGAAGAUGAAACCCUUUGAGGAGAAGGCCCAGUACAUAUUAUAUACCAUAAGACAAAAACGUCCUAAUAAGAAGAUAAGGUGACCGAAUAAGGGGAUUACUUGGCAGAGAUAUGAGAGAACUGGGUUCUUGACCCCACUUUGCCAUGAACUUGGGGGAAAAUUCACCACUGAGCUCAAGCAUUGUAAGACAUCCUGUUCUAAGGAGGGAUGAGGACAAAUCCUCUACUGUUCCCAACAGUUGCACAGGGCACUGCAUCUACAGUUACCCUGAGAACUACAAGCAGGAGGUGAAAGAGCUGAGUCAGCCAAGGUCAUCUGGGGACCUAUCCACUGGCAGGCAGAGGAGCCUUUCCCUGUGGCCACCACUGCCUUCAGCCCAUAAGGGAGUUUUUCCAGGCUACCUCCGAUGAUCACUUAAAGCUCAACAGCUCUUCAUUCAGCUUGUGGUCAUGUGCAAUCCUAAUACACUGACUCUGAGUCCAGUUCAGCACUAAGAGUUACCAAGAAUUUCAGUCCUUGUGUCCUAGACUGCCUUUCAAGUUUACUUGGAACCCCAAAGCACUUCAGCCUGCUGUGGUGAGGCGUGCUGAGAAACUGAAGUUCAAGCUACUGGGCUGGGUGAUUCUUUUCUGGCUAGGUGAGGUCCAAAUGCUCCCUCUUGCAUGGGGGCUGGCUGAGCCCAGCACGGCUUUGCUCUCUGCUGUGACAGGGCAGCACUGAAUUCAAUGUAAAGUCCUCCAGUUCUGUGCUCUCCCUCCCCAAGUGCACAGACUCUCUCCCAACAGCAUGGCUGCUGCCAGGGGAAAUAUUAAGAAUGGUGUAGGAGAUUCAAGACUGUCUGUCUUACUUUCUUCAGUGACAUGAAGUUAAAACCAGGUAGUCUCCUUUAGUGACAUGAAGUUCAAACCAGCUGGUCUAAUUGCUCACCUGAUUUUUGAUUCUUAUGAUGGUUCUUUUCUAUGUGCAGAUAGUUGUUAAAAUUUGGUGUUAUUGUCAGGAUGAAGAGUGUAGACUUCUAUUCCACAAUCUUGCUCUACCCACUUCCUGCCCCCAGUUGAGAUUCUUGCAUUUUUGGGUUAUAGUUGUAUUAAAUUUGAAAAAAAUGUAGUUAUUAUUACAUCAAAUAAUUUUGCUAUCCUGUCUUCACCCUUCAUGGGCUACAAGUUGAAGUAUAUUAGGUUGCUUGACAUUUUCCCAGAGCUCACUUGUGCUCUGUUCAUUGAAAAUUGUUUCUAAAAAUUGGAACCACUUAAAAUUCUAUCCAAACAAUUCUGUAAUCAAAGAGAAGAUUAAAAAACAAAUGGAAGGAUGUCAAGAAAAUAAUAAUAACUCAGUAUGUAUCAGUCUAUGGUCAGUACAAAUUUACUAAGAAGAAAAUAGAAUAAAAAUAAUGAGUU